GUAUACUGGAUUUGGCCGCCCUCUGCGGAUGGAUAUCUUGCAUUUGGACAUCUCUUGAUCCGUGGAUUUCCGUAGAGUUAACUUAACAUAUGUAUUGGGUGGUCUGUUUGCUGCCCAAUUUUUUAAGUGGCUGCCUUUUAUCACUUCUGCUGAUAGUCUCCCAUUUGUGGCAUUAUAAAGCAGGCUAAUGAGAAUUUCUGGAACUGACCCGUCUUCGAGAGACUGACAUGCGGAUGUACUUUCACUACAAGACAUUUCUGACACGCUCAUUUGGGAGUCACAGACACAUUUUAUCUUGUGAAUUGUUCCUUGUACUGUAUUCUGAACCAAGAUCUGGAAGCCCUCCAACAUUUUCAAAACAGAACUGCUUAUUAAUAUAGAGAAAAAGAAGCAGCAUCAGGAUAAUAAACACCCAAACAGCUGACAAAAACCCAACUGCCUCUGGAGAUACUUUUCUAAAACAGGAAAGCUUCCUGCUGACUCAAAAGGAUUUUUCUUCUUCUGAACUCCUAUUAUGGGAAUGGAUGAAAUCACUUACAGAGCCACAGAAGGAAACAAAGCAAAGCCAGGAUCAUGAGUUGGAUUAUCUGGAGGCCUAGGCCAAUGGGGAGUUAUUGCUUGCAGUCACUGAUCAAGCAAAUAAACUUUUCCUUCUUUCUUAUGAAAUUUAUUUAAGAAGCUGAAAUUACUUAAAUGAUAAUGAGUUGUGAGAAAAGAAUUGUAGUAGAUAUUUGUUCUCUAUCCAAAUUGCACUGAGUGGGGAGGUGUACCCAUACCCCAGCUUCGAGAAUUGACUGAUAACAGUUCACACCUGCACUUCUCCAGAGAAUUGUCCUUGUCUGACCUGAGCACCUUGUUUAGUAAUGUCUGGUAGGCUAUGCUCCACCUUCCCUGGGCAGAUCCACUGGUCUAAGACAAACAACCCAACCCUCUAAUUUCUGGGAAGAAUCACCUCCGUGAUUAAUCUAAGCUCCAGAUCUCCCAGAGAAAUCAUGCUGAGGCUACAUUUGUGAAACUACAUUUUUAUCUAGCUUCUUCCUUUGCCCUUUCCUGCUGUCCUCACUUCCUUAUGAAUUUUUUUCUGAAAGAUCUUGAUUAAUAAAUUAUUUAAUCAAGAUCCCCCAGUCAUAAGUUCUGUGUUUUGGAAUAUAACCUAUACAAAAAUAAAUUAAUUGGUACUAGAUAAUGCUCCGCUAUGCAUCUAUUUCAAUGUCUAUUCUUUGGAAGUUCUGUCAUCACACAUCCCCAAGUUUUAGAUAAGGUUUUUAGCUAACAGCCAGGAAAAGAUUCAAUAAACUUAAAAGAAAAAGUGUUUUUAAAUGUAAUAUUUUUUGUCUCUAAAGAAGUUUUUGUAUUGCAAAUGUUAAUCUCUUAAAAUAGAGGGGAACGAAGAAUGAAAAAAGAAAUAUUUUUAAGAUGUCCUUUUAAAACAUAGUCCCUCAAGCUAGUUGUUGUAGUUUUAGAAUAUAAAGAGCCCAGUAAAGAUGGUUUCAGUGAGAAGCUAUUAUUAAGAAAUGAGACUAGAAAGUUUUGGAGUCAAUAUCUGUAGCCUUUUGAUACUGAAAAUUCUGCAUAGUGGAUGGGAGUCAUGAGAAUUUUCCAGUCUUUAUUUUGGAAAUCUCUUACCUAUCCAACUAUAAUAACUGUCAUGUCAUUUAUAGUAUUAUCUUUUUGGAUUGUCCUGAGCAUUCAGUUCCAAAGUGAAGUCAAUGUAUCAUAGAACAUAUGGAAAAAUUCCAGAACUCAUGUUUAUAUUUAUUUUUAUCUAAACAAACAAUUUUUUACAGCAUUGGCUUUGAGGUGUGGAAUCUUAGCAGAAGUACAUUAAUUACUGGAUGCU
rnacentral:lncRNA from 1 species